CAUGGUGUCCUGCGUGCUUUCUAGGUGUCCUCUCUAGAUGUUGUAGGCAUCUCAGAAAGUCAGGUUUAACACACGAGCAUCUAAUGAGCACCAGGAGGUGCCCUCCUGAUCUUAAGGGAAAGCAAAGGGCGGGAGGUAUUUGUACAUCCAAUAAACUAAGUGACAUGAAGCAGUCUGUGUGACCAGGAUCAACCAUGUGAUUAAAUUCUAGAUCUUUCUGAACAUAGCAGUGAGAAGGAAGAAGAGCAGUUCCGAGGCCAUAGAAGCUGCAGAUGCAAUGUGAGCAGCAGCCUGCUGAACUCCUGCCACCAUGCUGUCUCUGCUGUGAUGGACUGUCUCCCCUCAAGCUGUGAGCUGCAAUAAACUGUGCCUGGCUUAUAUUACUUCUUUCAGACAUUUGGUCACAUAAUAAAG